AACAACGCGAGAUUAUGAUGAGCUCUGCUGGAGGAAAGAAAAAAAACGGGGCCUGGAUAACAUUAUAUUUAUGAAGUCGGUUUGACAAGAGUGGAUCUUCUAACGCUGAUUAUUAUUCAUUUGAGCAUUUUGUCACACACGUCGACCCCCGGAUGCUCGGCCAUGUGUUGUUGUCUAUUUGACGUGAGGAGGCUAGAGGGAGGCAAGUCCAUGACACCAUGAGUCCUCCAGCUCUGCCCGUAGUCUUCUGCUGUUGUCACAGGAAAAUCUGGCUGCAUUCACCAGCAGGAGGCGAACACAUCUCUAUUUCCUCCCAAUAAUUUACCCGCCUGACUCUAUGGAACGACAAGCAUAAUGAAUAGAUACACCAACAUCAGACAGCUCGGGGAUGGCACCUACGGCUCCGUCAUCCUCGGCCGCAGUCUGGAGUCGGGGGAGCUGGUCGCGAUAAAGAAAAUGAAAAGAAAAUUCUACUCCUGGGAAGAAUGCAUGAACCUCCGUGAAGUCAAGGUGAGUGAUGGUUUUUCAUUUGAACACGGUUUCAGAAUUAGAUUUUGGGAAGA